rnacentral:lncRNA from 1 species
ACUAAUUAAAUUGAAUGCAACAUUUUCAUUUGGUUUUUGUAUCCAUAGAAUUGAUUUAAAUGGAGCUAAAUGAAAUGAAAAUCCAAUUCUCAUUUAAAGAGACGAAACCAUUUUGUUCUCAACCUAAUUUGGGCCAAAAUGCAAUAACCUCAACUUUUGGGCUAUGUUGCAAAACUUAAACUUUUGAGCUCAUUUUGUAAAAACACAAAAGUCCACUACUUCAUGUAAUUACAACUAGAACCCAAAAAUUUCAACAAAUUCAAAAACUUCAUUAAAGGAACAAAACAAUUUGUCAUUUAAUGAUUUUGGGCCUUUACGUAAAUACGUAAACUUUUGGGUCAAACUACAAAUUACACAAAAGUACCAAAACUUUAUGUAAUUGCAUAAAAGCCCCAAAAACACCCCACUUCUAGGGUGGCCGGUUUUGGAGAGAAGGGAGUGAUGUGUGUGUUGAUUUGUAGUUUUAGACAUAAAGUCAUGCAAGUGGUGCAUGACAUAAAUGUCAAGCAAGUGGUGUGUGUGAAAGGGAAUUAAUCCUUACACACCCACCAAUAUUUCUUACACCUUUCUAAAUAAAUAUCUAACACAUUUAAACAUAUGAAAACAUAAAACAUAAACUUUAUAAAAUAAAUCAAAACUUUGAAUCAAAACACCAAACUUUUUGUUCUUGGCAAAAAUGUCAACAACAAUGAAGAACACUCAUGAAAAACUCAAAAUAUUUCCAUGAACAUUUUUCACCCAAAAACAUCCCAAAACCAUUCAAACUUAAGGGAAAUAACAUAUAACCAAA